UUUUUUUUAAAUUUUAUUUCUAAGUACUGUCUACACCCAGUGUGGAGCUCAAACUUACAACCCCGAGAUCUAGAGUCACAGACUCCACUGACUGAGCCAGCCAGGUGCCCCUGUAAUAAAUUCUUCCUGUGUGCCCCACUGUCGUGAAAUCUUUAUAGGACCAGCCUAUGGAGAAUGCAUAGGAACUAAACAAUGAAUAGUCAAUGUUCUAGAUAAAUAAUUCAUUACUUUGCUAGCACCUGGCUUCCUACUGAAUUUAUCUUUUAAAAGAUUUUAUUUAUUUAUUUGAGAGAGAGCUCACAAGCCGGGGGAAUCAUGACCUGAGCUGAAGGCAGACAUUUAGUCGACUGAGCAACCCAGGUGCCCUUCCUACUGUGUUUAGAAUAAAAAUGAAGCCCCCUAAAUUACCUUCCAGGCCAGAUGAGAUCUGGCCCCUGCAAAUUGUCUGACUUCAUGUCUUAUUACCACUCCCAACCUUGUUUUCCAGCCUCUAACCAUACCAGCUUACUUUUACUUAUUUGGACUUGCUGCACUGAUUCUUACUGCAAGUCCUUUGCAUGGCCAUCCUCUCUAUUUGGAACACUUUUCCUUUGGCUGAAUCUUUCCUAUAAUUCAGGCCUCAACUUAAUUGUAAUCCCUCCCAAUAAAUUUUCUAUCCUAUCUCAAGCAGUCUUCCUCCCUUCUCAACCCCCAGGCCAAUCUAUCACUUGCCCAGUGAUUUUCUUCAAAGCUCUUGUCAUGACCUGAAAUUCCCUUAUUAUUUUGGGAUAUUUCCCCCCUCCUUCUCCCUACACAGGAUAUAAACUUCACAAUGUCUGGAAUCUUCUUUUUCAUUUAUUGCUGUAUGCCCAGAUCUUGGAACAAUACCUGAUGCAAAUUAGGAAAUGAAUGAAUAAAAGAGAAAGAAAAGAAAGGGAGGAAAAGAAGGAAAGAAAGGAAGAAAGGCAAGAAGGAAGGAAGGGGAAAAAUGAAAAGGAAGAGCAGAAGCGUCUACAGUGGAACUGACUAUGGAAAAGAGGAAUAUCAGUAGAAGAGAGAAGGGACUAGGGAAGAAAAUUUAGGAGAGACAGAGCAGGUCCGGGUAGUGCGGGUUCAUUAUGAUGUACAAUUCUGAUCCCAGUGAAAAGAAGUGUUUUACAUACAUUCCAGGCAGGGAGAAUGGCAAGUACGAAAAGGACCUUUUUACACCACCGUACAGCUGCUUUUUGGGGUUGUUACGGUUUUAUUUCUAGUGUGUGCAUUGGGGGUUGUGUGUGUGUGGGGGGGGGGAGUGUUCCUGUGUUACUGUCAAGCCAAGGCUGGGAUUUUACUUUCAGGCUGCAACUGCUGCAUCUUCUUGGUGCUGCCAAUGGGAAUCCUCUAGUCAUGAACACCACCCGUGGUGAGUCUACAGCCUCUUCGAGGACUUUUAGGCCAAGAGGCUGGAAAGAGAAUGACAGAACAAUCACCACACUGUACCAGUGAACUCAGGUUAUAGGGGUGAGUGGCUCUGGUGGUAGGUGUGGCCUUUGGUAAAACAUUAUACGAUUUAACACAAACCAAGCACAGAGAGGUAAACUUUCCAGCGACUAGAUGUGAGGAAGAGGUGACUCUUAGAGGUUCGCUUUUCUGAAACACAAGUUUUAGGUUCUUUUAUGUUGUAUUAGUAUGGCUUUAUUUAAAUGGGAAUUCUCUGCAAAACUCGUACACUGGCAACAUUUUAGAAAAGACUGUACGCUACCCCAGUUUGGUUUUAUCCAGAAAAAAGAUGUAAGCUCUGGCAUGGCUGUGACCCAAAGACCUGGUUGCUUGUACAGUCAGUGGCCCAUACUUUGGAAACACAAGUGAACUAGUCUGUUUAGAUAGAUUUCUUCUUAGCACCACGUUUGGGCAAUUCCUCUUGUCCUUAUCAACCAAACCCUUGCCAGCCCUAAUACAUCCAGAAUCCAUAGCCAGCUAGGAUUCACCAAAUGAAGGUUGGCUUCCAUCUAGCUCCUGCAAUGAAUUUAUGAUAAAGGAGGCAGGGUUCCUGGAAUCUACAUGUGGAGUACUCUCCUUCUUUUGCACAAGAAGAGGAAAAACCAUCUAAGUUUUAAAAGUUAUUAAGAGAAAAGAGUGGUCUGUGUCUAUCACAUUGACAAUCAUAGAACAUGUAUUAUUCUGCAAGGAAUUACAUCAAGCAAAUUAAUCAUAUGUAAAUCUAAAUAUAGUGUUUAAUCUCCAUCUUAAUAAAUGCCUCUAUCCCAUUAGCAAUAUUCAUUCGGAUGAUUCAAGUUUUCUUAUUUUAAAAUGUUUUCCCAGUUUUACUGAGAAAUAAUUGACGUAUAUCACUGUGUAAGUUUAAGGCAUACAGCAUGCUGGUUUGAUUUACAUAUGUUAUGAAAUUAUUACCACGAUAGGUUCAGCUAACAUCUAUCUUGUCAUAUAGGCACAAUAAAAAGAAAAAAAAAAAGAAAAAAAAAGAAAAAACACCUUUCCUUGUGAUGACUUUCUUUUUUACUUUCGCUGAACUAUUAACUGAAACACCCCACUCUGCAGAAACACAAUCCCAUAUUUGAAACAGAAAAAGCUUUGAAGAGAUUAGAAUCACAUCUUUCACUUUGCCAAUCGACACCAGGGGGAGAAAACCGGUUUAGCCAAAUUAACUUCUGUCACACUUAAACAUGAAUCCUCACUCUAAAGCAGAGACACACAUUAAAAUUCAGAAUUACAUCUCAUACAUCAGGAAGGUGUGUUGCAAAUUUUGCAGGUUGGUUUCAAUGCGUGAGAGAUAGUUGCAGCGUAAGGCUGGAUGCAUUUGGCUGCAAAUAGAAUCCAGUCUCCCAGGGCCUCAAGCAAUAAUGAUAUUUGAUUUUCUCACCCUAGAAAGCAGUCUGGAGAAGGCAGACUCAGUAGUGCAUUGGCAGACUCAUUCAGGAUCCAGAUUGUCUCCCCUUGUCCGCCAUCUUUUGCUCAUGGCUACUACAGCUUCAAAUAGUAAGUCCUCACACGGCUACAUUCAAAGAGGGAUGAGACUGGGGUAUAAAGAAACUUUCUCCUUGUCAAGUUCUGUGUUUCUCUUCCAGGAAGAACAAUUUCAGGAAGUCUCCCUGAGACCUCUCCUUUUGUUUCAUUGGCCAGAUAUGGGCCAGAUCCUCUCUUUGACUAGUCCCAGGCAAAGGGAAAUAGGAUAAACCCAAUCCCAAAUCCCUCCCUUGCAGCUUGGAUGGGGCCUUAUCUUUCUUGACCUCAAGUGCUCUCUACCCACUACCCAAACAGAAUGGGGCUUUUGUUAACCAGAAAGAUGGAUAUGGAUAGCUGGUGGGCAAAAUGGGAACAGUGACUGCCCUGUUUCUGGAGGAAGUAGUCAAGACUUUUAAUAUUCUUCCUGCUUCUGCUGUUUCAUAUGAUAUUUCAAAAUCGAAGCAACAUGGAAGUUUAUUUUAUUUAGAUUAGAUAUAUUUAACCAUAUAAUCACAGAGUUAUGUCAUAGGAGCCUUGAAAAAAAGAUACCGCUGCAAGAUUAAUUGUUUUGGGGUGUCAAAAGCUAUGAGACGCUUAGCUUGUCAGAUUCCUAGAGGCCCAUAAGACUUCAUUUUCUUCCCAAUGUGAUAGGGCAUCUAUCUGAGCUGCUGAACAUGAAACAUCAUGGAGGGCAGCCCGGGUGGCUCAGCAGUUUAGCGCUGCCUUCAGCCCAGGGUGUGACCCUGGAGACCUGGGAUCGAGUCCCACAUCGGGCUCCCUGUAUGGAGCCUGCCUCUCCCUCUGCCUGUGUCUCUGCCUCUCUCUCUCUCUCUCUCUCUCUCUCUUUCUGUGUGUGUGUGUCUCUCUCAUGAAUAAAUAAAUAAGAAACAAUGAGAUCAUUGCUGCCAGUUUCAAGGAAGUAUAAAUAUUCAAACUCAAAUUG
rnacentral:lncRNA from 1 species